rnacentral:rRNA from 1 species
GACGAACGCUGGCGGCGUGCUUAACACAUGCAAGUCGAACGGAAAGGCCUCUUUCGGGGGGUACUCGAGUGGCGAACGGGUGAGUAACACGUGAGUAACCUGCCCUUGACUUUGGGAUAACUUCAGGAAACUGGGGCUAAUACCGGAUAGGAGCCCCUGCUGCAUGGUGGGGGUUGGAAAGUUUCGGCGGUAGGGGAUGGACUCGCGGCUUAUCAGCUUGUUGGUGGGGUAGUGGCUUACCAAGGCGUUGACGGGUAGCCGGCCUGAGAGGGUGACCGGCCACAUUGGGACUGAGAUACGGCCCAGACUCCUACGGGAGGCAGCAGUGGGGAAUAUUGCACAAUGGGUGGAAGCCUGAUGCAGCAACGCCGUGUGCGGGAUGACGGCCUUCGGGUUGUAAACCGCUUUCGCUCAUGACGAAGCUUUGUGUGACGGUAGUGGGUAAAGAAGCACCGGCUAACUACGUG